rnacentral:misc_RNA from 1 species
CACCCCCUCAAGCCUCAGCUUGGUGUUGGGCCGCGCCACUGCACUGGCGGGCCUUAAAAUCAGUGGCGGUGCCGUCGCGGCUCCAAGCGUAGUAGCAUCUCUCGCUCUGGAGACCCGGCGGUUGCUUGCCAGACAACCCCACCAUCUUUCAAU